CCUACGGGAGGCAGCAGUGGGGAAUAUUGCACAAUGGGGGAAACCCUGAUGCAGCGACGCCGCGUGAGUGAAGAAGUAUUUCGGUAUGUAAAGCUCUAUCAGCAGGGAAGAAGCAAGACGGUACCUGACUAAGAAGCCCCGGCUAACUACGUGCCAGCAGCCGCGGUAAUACGUAGGGGGCAAGCGUUAUCCGGAUUUACUGGGUGUAAAGGGAGCGUAGACGGUAUGGCAAGUCUGAAGUGAAAGCCCAGGGCUUAACCCGGGGACUGCUUUGGAGACUGUUAGACUAGAGUGCUGGAGAGGUAAGUAGAAUUCCUAGUGUAGCGGUGAAAUGCGUAGAGAUGAGGAGGAAUACCAGAGGCGAAGGCGGCUUACUGGAAAGGUACUGACGUUGAGGCGCGAAAGCGUGGGGAGCAAACAGGAUUAGAUACCCCAGUAGUC
rnacentral:rRNA from 1 species